GACCGCCAGAGCGCUUGGUGGGUGACUCGGCGGACAAAGGGCUCUGUGCACCCGCCUCUGCUGUCCUGGCUGGGCCUCACACACAAUGGAAGGACCUUUCGAAGCUGCACCCAGCCUGCCCCCUCCCUCAGCAAGAGACACCCAGAGAUGCAGCUGAGCUCAGUCUCAGAGCAGGCCCCCUCCCUGCUCAAAAGGUCCACAGAGAGGAGAUGCAGACUCAGAAGUGUGGUAUGCAAAACUUCCCAACUCAGGCCCCAUUCUUUGUGUCUGGCUUCAAUUUCUGCCUCAAAUCCAUGCGCUAAAGCUUGGCCAGAUGAAGUGGGGAUCUGCCCUCCAGACACAUGGUCACGUGGGCAGCCCUUCUGAGACUGGAACAGCUGAGACCCUGCCUUGAUCGCAAGACACAGGCACUGAGGGUCUCCUUCCCCACCCAACUUCACACACACACACACACACACACACACACACACACACACACUCUUAGGCCGCCACCAGGGAGCCCACUGGGCUUGCAAUGGUGUGUGUUAGUACCAUGGACAGUGCUGGGAGAGGGCAGGCUCUGAAGGCUGUGAAAUCCACUGACUCAGGGGCAUGCAUGUGUUUCAUACAGCAGGCAUUUGUUGAGCACCAGCUGCAUGCCCCACCCCUGCUGGGUGUUAUGGAAAAUUCCAGAGGAAAAGACAUGUCACUGCCCCCAGGGGCCUUAACAGCCUGGCUGGGGAACAGAUAGCCCUGCCACCAACCUCCCACCUACCUCCCUGCAGACUGCCACAGCCAUUUGUACAAACCACAAAUUUGACCAUAUCUCUCCCCCCUUUUUUUCUCUUGAGAUGGAGUCUUAAUACAUCACCCAGGCUGGAGUGCAGUGGCAUGAUCUCGGCUCACUGCAACCUCCGUCUCCUGGGUUCAAGUGAUUCUCCUACCUCAGCCUUCCCCCCAAGUAGCUGGGAUUAUAUGUACACGCCACCACGCCCAGCUAAUUUUUGUAUUUUUUGGUAGAAACAGGGUUUCACCUUGUUGGCCCGGCUGAUCUCAAACUCGUGACUGCAGGUGAUCCACCGCUUCGGCCUCCCAAACUGCUGGGAUUACAGGCAUGAGCCACCGCUCCUGGCCCCAUAUCUCUCUCUCAAAAGCUCCAUGGGACACACACACACACACACACACACACACACACACACACUCAUACACACACACAUACAUGCACAUCAAUUGCUUAUAAGAUGAUAAACUCCAAACCAUUAAGCAUGUUAGUCAAGGCCCUUUCUGACCCAGCAGGCCCAGCCACCCUCCUGCCCUCACCACCAUCCCCACCCUCAUGAGCCCAAUACUCCAGCCCUACUUGACUUCCUUCAUUCCCCAGACAUGCAAGGGCGCUUUUCUCAUUUUUGUCCCCUAAUCUAGAGAGUAUUUGCCCUUCUUCUUUUUCACAGAGAACUCCCACAUAGACUUCAAAACUCAAACCAAAUAUUUCCUCCUCCAGGAAGCCGCAAAGUUAGUUGUUCCCUCCUCUGCAUGCCAAGAGGCCUUGUACCUGUCUCUAUGUCACUUGGCAUAUUGAAUUCUGAAUUACCAUGCAUCCCUCAUGUCAAACAGAAGUUAGCUAUAUUUGUCUAGGCCUCUUAGGAAAGGCGUGGUGGUUGCCAGAAGUGGAGGGGCUUUCUAAGAACUGUAACUCAUUAAUCACUAUGUCAGUAAUAGUUGUAUUUGACAACUUCAGAUUUUCUGGAAGCCUAAAAAUAAUGUCAAA
ensembl:lncRNA novel transcript